rnacentral:rRNA from 1 species
GACGAACGCUGGCGGCGUGCCUAACACAUGCAAGUCGAGCGGGGUGAGUACUUCGGUACAAACCUAGCGGCGGACGGGUGAGUAACACGUGGGUAACCUGCCUCAAAGUGGGGGAUAGCCUUCCGAAAGGAAGAUUAAUACCGCAUAACCCAUAGCUUCCGCAUGGAAGCAAUGGUAAAGAUUUAUCGCUUUGAGAUGGACCCGCGGCGCAUUAGCUAGUUGGUGAGGUAACGGCUCACCAAGGCCACGAUGCGUAGCCGACCUGAGAGGGUGAUCGGCCACAUUGGAACUGAGACACGGUCCAGACUCCUACGGGAGGCAGCAGUGGGGAAUAUUGCACAAUGGGCGAAAGCCUGAUGCAGCAACGCCGCGUGAGUGAUGAAGGCCUUCGGGUUGUAAAGCUCUGUCUUUUGGGACGAUAAUGACGGUACCAAAGGAGGAAGCCACGGCUAACUACGUGCCAGCCGCCGCCGUAAUAC